rnacentral:rRNA from 1 species
GACGAACGCUGGCGGCGUGCUUAACACAUGCAAGUCGAACGGAAAGGCCCUGCUUUUGUGGGGUGCUCGAGUGGCGAACGGGUGAGUAACACGUGAGUAACCUGCCCUUGACUUUGGGAUAACUUCAGGAAACUGGGGCUAAUACCGGAUAGGAGCUCCUGCUGCAUGGUGGGGGUUGGAAAGUUUCGGCGGUUGGGGAUGGACUCGCGGCUUAUCAGCUUGUUGGUGGGGUAGUGGCUUACCAAGGCUUUGACGGGUAGCCGGCCUGAGAGGGUGACCGGCCACAUUGGGACUGAGAUACGGCCCAGACUCCUACAGGAGGCAGCAGUGGGGAAUAUUGCACAAUGGGCGGAAGCCUGAUGCAGCAACGCCGCGUGCGGGAUGACGGCCUUCGGGUUGUAAACCGCUUUCGCCUGUGACGAAGCGUGGGUGACGGUAAUGGGUAAAGAAGCACCGGCUAACUACGUG